UGCUCACCAUGCUGCGCCACCAAAAGGGAAACAUACAUAGAACCAAGAGCCCCAUGGCAACGGAUCACAAACCUUGGGGCAGAGCCACGUUCCUGACUUCACGAAGACGAUCUUGCUCUCUGUCUCUCACGUGAGAUAAUCUCACUGUAAAGAAGGGCGUCUGGACACGUCAGUCUGAUCCCUGCUGGUCACAGUGUGCAGGUGUGAGAAUGAGGCUCAGAGGGGCUGCACGGCACGUGGCAGAUCAGACAGAUACUGGGAUUCCGAAUCUACCUGCCUCUGAAGCCAAAGUUCAGAGUCCCAU